AACGCAAAGAGGGCUCUGCGCGAGUCCGGGCUUGUUUGGGCUCAAUAGAAAAAUAACGGGUAACCACAGAAAAAGCACGUUUCAUGUGUUUGAACUAAGCGCGUUACUGACUGGCAUUCAGCCUGUGAUGCUUUGCCAUCCAAAGAUGAUCACGGUGAUCAAAUAGCUCUCGUUUGGGUUUUUUUUCAUCGGCGCUGUAAGUUAGCGGAGUUCCCGGGUAGGUUCUGCUUGGUCUUGCACACUGAGCGAUGGUGCCCUUUAAACACACGUGCUUGAAGUUCUUAGUGACUGAGGCCUUUUAUUGCGCUAGUGGUGUUGCCAUUGGUAUGUUAUUAGUUAAUGAAGAGCCUGAAAUCCUUGGAUUAGAAACUCCCACGGUGCCGGGAGCGCGGCGUGCAGAGGGCUGAGAAUAGAGAUGCUUCCUUAAUUUGCGUUUAGUUUGGAUAGGAAGGGUUAAGAAAGUUUUCUAUUCCACGUCAUUUUGAUAGGGUCAGCUGGACUUAAAGGAAAGCUAAUGCAGCUAUUUAAUAAUGCCAAAAAGGGUAAUUUAAAUUGUUUUCUGGUCUUCCACAUAGCCCGUAAGUGGCACAGAAAUGGCAUCAAGAAACCCAGAUCCCAUAGAUACGAAUCUCUCAAAGGGGUUGAUCCCAAGUUUCUGAGGAACAUGAGAUUUGCAAAGAAACACAACAAAAAGGGGCUGAAGAAGAUGCAGGCCAACAAUGCCAAGCAGGCUGCUCAGCAGAAAAAGGACUGACAUGGUUUAAGACAAAAGAACCAGUUUUCCUAUUGGCAUGCGUGUUACAGCAUUUUUGUAAAAAUAAAAUUGGAUGUAACAAAGUCUUCACCUCCGGAAUUUGAGGAGAGCCCUCCAAAA